rnacentral:ncRNA from 2 species
AUUUUUCAAAAGGGGAGCUUGCAAUGCAGGCUGAGAGGAAAUGUAUAUUUCGACCCAUAACUUGAUUCGGAUAAUGCCGACGUAAGGAAAUAUUAAUUUAUACUA